rnacentral:rRNA from 1 species
GUAGGUGGCAAGCGUUGUCCGGAAUUAUUGGGCGUAAAGCGCGCGCAGGUGGUUCGUUUAAGUCUGAUGUGAAAGACCCCCGGGCUCAACCGGGGAGGGGUCAUUGGAAACUGGGGAACUUGAGUGCAGGAGAGGAAAGUGGAAUUCCACGUGUAGCGGUGAAAUGCGUAGAUAUGUGGAGGAACACCAGUGGCGAAGGCGACUUUCUGGCCUGUAACUGACACUGAGGCGCGAAAGCGUGGGGAGCAAACAGGAUUAGAUACCCUGGUAGUCCACGCCGUAAACGAUGAGUGCUAAGUGUUGGGGGGUUUCCGCCCCUCAGUGCUGCAGCUAACGCAUUGAGCACUCCGCCUGGGGAGUACGGUCGCAAAGACUG